ensembl:lncRNA
AUGUACAUUUUGAAUCUACUUCUCCUUAAGCUCGUUUGCAAUUUAAUGAAAUUCAUAUGUCUUAGAUUUCUUUCAAGAAUCCUGGCCUUAAACAUAUUUUCUAUCCUCUCUUUGAUGUUUGCUUUAGGAGAAUAUUCUUUAGAUGGACUAUUCUUAAAUGGCACCCUCUGUGGAGACUUUAUUCCUUUCACAGACAGAAAUGGAGGACAACAACCAAUUGUCCUGCGUCACCCUCGGUAAUAUAGUAAAUGAGAAGAAAGAGUUUUGGAAAGAAAAAAAACACUGGAAAAAAAUCCCAGUUCCUCAAGGGAGUGUCAUGGAUUUAUCAGGGAGUGUUUACAGCAGCAUUUCAGCCCAGAUGAGGAGAGUGCUUUGUAAGUGAAUCACUGCUCAUGGCACUUUGAUUUACACCUCAGAGUGGUCAUAGAGCAUAUGCACCAGGUUCACUUCAGGAAAAACUAAAUUGGAAGAUAAGUUGCAGAGACAAAUGUUAAGUGCGCUGACUGCUCGUGGGCAUUCAGUUCAUAGAAACUGAUUAAUGAAGUCCAAAUGAAAACUUCCUGAAUAUGUGGACACUUGGUCCUCAGCAUAAGCAGAUGGAUGCAGAGGAGAGUGCUUGGAUGAUGAGAGAAGCCCAGUUUAUCAUAUCAGAAACAAUUGGAUUGGUAAUUAGAUCAGAGGAUGUGAUUCAUGGAUAAACAACAGGAAGGGAGAAGAACUACCAAGUACAAAACAAACCGACACAAAAACAAAUGAGUAUGACUUGCUCUCAACCUAGAGAUUAGAAGGAAUGUAAACACACAUCUGAGGACUAGAAGGAAGAGCUAAGCAAAGCUGCAGUUUUGGAACAACAUUUCCACUGGAAUAUCAUGGCUUAAUGGAGCCCUAAAUGGGUUAAUUAAGGGAACCUAACCUUCUAAAAUUCAGUUUGUGGAAACAAUUGUAUAAUGCAUGUGCUUAUAAUGUGCUAAAUGUGACCAUUUAAUCUGUUAGAAGGGAAUGUUUCACUUCUACAUAUUUUUAAAACACUGAUGUAGGAUCUUUACAUUCAUUUUGAAGUGCCAUUAAGUGUAAAAAAACAGAGAUGACUUCUGACUGGCAAAAAAUUGAGUAAAUGUUUGGGAUGAAGAAUGUCUCUGUUAAACUUGAAUUUUAUGGAAAUGUUGCAAGAUACUCUCUACAAAUAGUGUAACAGCCACAUAAUUGCAGCUUUUGGAUCUACAGACAAGUUACCAGUUAUGUCUGUUUAUUUACUUUUUGUCCUUGCACAGCAUAAAACAUAUCAGAAAGGCAAUCAAGAGCAGGGACACUGAGUCAGUGUUGACUUUCAGUCAGGGGCUUUGCCAGACAUGGUUUUCAAUUAGAAAGAGGAGAUGUGGAUUCAGUAAGCAUUCACAUAGUCACCUAGGUUUCAUUUUCAUCCAAACAACCCUUCAGAGACAAUGAUAGAAAUUAGAGGAUGAGAGCUCUCUCUGUAUUUAAUAGAAGUUUACUUUCUUCAUUCUUUUCUUUCUAAAUGGAAUUUUUGUGCGUCAAAGCUUUACUCAUUACUUUAAAAACUGCAUUCAAUUUUAUGACCAUUAAAGUUUCAUUUUGAGUGUUACAUUAUUCUUAUUGCCUUCUUACCCCAAUACCUAUGCUAAGAUUACUUUCCUGUCCUCAUAUCCCAUCCACUUGUUCUUCCAUUGAAAACAAUCCCUGGCUCUGCUAGAAUCAUCCCUUUGCCACCGUGUGCAAUGUUGGGAGCCUACAGGUUUCCAUCCCUGCUAUCUCCUUCCGUACUCCUUUGUCACUAGUACUCAUCUCUACAAGCACAGAAAACAUGUCUUUCUUCUCCUGAAGCUGAGCAAUCAUUCUUGAGGUAGGACAUCCUGGUAGGAAGUGCUCACGUGUUUCUUUUGGUUGCUGUGGUCACUUGACUCACUUAAGAGCUACCUAUCCUUGACAUUAUUGCUGGUACUAACCCUUGCUCCCUCCAGAAAGCAAAGAUUUUGUGCAAGUUUUGGUGUUGCUCACCAAAAACUGGGCAGCUAAUUGGGAGAACAGAGGUCACCCAACUGUAGGCACACAGGCAAAGAGUGCUGUCAUUCAUAUGUGGCCUAUGGAUGCUGUGAAGCAAAACCUGUAAUUUCAGCAAGUUGUCCUAGAAAAGGAAUCCUGCUAUUUCUGCUUUUAUUCUCUAACCAUAAGAUGGUUAAAUUAGGCUCUGAAAAAUUAAGUUGCCAAACAUUAAGCUAGUGAAUAUAUUAAUAAAUGAUGAAUUAAAACUAAAGAGAGAAAGCA